ensembl:lncRNA
CCGCACACAGUCGAGCAAGGUAAAACUGCUGGGCUCAGAUUGCUGGGGGGGGGGGGACCCGACUGUGAAAGGAUUGAAGCGUUUAACAUAACACGCCGUUUUCAGAACAGACGUUGGAAGGCAAAUAGUGUCUCACGGGGCAACAGUAGCAGACCUGUGAGUGAACCAUCGAGGUGACCUCACCGUUCCUACGACCCGUUCCGCAGCGCCUCUCUAGGAGCUGAGGCGUCGAAGCUAAAACGACACCGAGGAAAAGCCAUAUUCUUCUUGAAGCGUGACAGCGAGUUCCGUGUUCGAGGGAUGUUGGCGGAUCAUCGCAGAUGUCCCGUGUUUGCUGAAAACACAUCAUCCAUCUGGGGGGGUUGUGGCGGUUCUGAUGUGUCUUCUGCUUUUUACCAUAGCGGUCAUUUUUUAUUAUUUUAAAACAACUGAGAAUAUAUCACAUAUAUUUCAGCCACUAUUUUAGUUGGCUGUCAAUCACACUCGUUGAGUCCACAUUAUACUUCACUAGUUUACCAAUGUGAGAAAUAUGCAGCUGAACUACAAUCACAGAUUUAAAAUAGAACAGAGG